rnacentral:rRNA from 1 species
AUACUUAGGGUGCAAGCGUUAAUCGGAAUUACUGGGCGUAAAGCGCACGUAGGCGGAUUAGUAAGUUAGAGGUGAAAUCCCAGGGCUUAACCCUGGAACUGCCUUUAAUACUGCUAGUCUUGAGUUCGAGAGAGGUAAGUGGAAUUCCUAGUGUAGAGGUGAAAUUCGUAGAUAUUAGGAGGAACACCAGUGGCGAAGGCGGCUUACUGGCUCGAUACUGACGCUGAGGUGCGAAAGCGUGGGGAGCAAACAGGAUUAGAUACCCCGGUAGUCC